rnacentral:rRNA from 1 species
GACGAACGCUGGCGGCGUGCUUAACGCAUGCAAGUCGAACGGUAAGGCCCUUCGGGGUACACGAGUGGCGAACGGGUGAGUAACACGUGGGUGAUCUGCCCUGCACUUCGGGAUAAGCCUGGGAAACUGGGUCUAAUACCGGAUAGGACUCCGGACUGCAUGGUCUGGGGUGGAAAGCUUUUGCGGUGUGGGAUGGGCCCGCGGCCUAUCAGCUUGUUGGUGGGGUGAUGGCCCACCAAGGCGACGACGGGUAGCCGGACUGAGAGGGUGACCGGCCACGCUGGGACUGAGAUACGGCCCAGACUCCUACGGGAGGCAGGAGUGGGGAAUAUUGCACAAUGGGCGCAAGCCUGAUGCAGCGACGCCGCGUGAGGGAUGACGGCCUUCGGGUUGUAAACCUCUUUCAGCAUCGACGAAGCGAAAGUGACGGUAGGUGCAGAAGAAGGACCGGCCAACUACGUGCCAGCCGCCGCAGUAA